rnacentral:rRNA from 1 species
UACAGAGGGUGCAAGCGUUGCUCGGAAUUAUUGGGCGUAAAGGGUAGGUAGGUGGUCUCGUUUGUCUGGGGUGAAAGCCCUGGGCUUAACCUAGGAAGUGCCUCGGAAACGGCGAGACUGGAGUCCUGGAGAGGGUCGUGGAAUUCCCGGUGUAGCGGUGAAAUGCGUAGAGAUCGGGAGGAAUACCAGAGGCGAAGGCGACGACCUGGACAGGCACUGACACUCAACUACGAAAGCGUGGGGAUCAAACAGG